ACCCCUGCGGAGAAACACAGACACGGAGCCCUCAGAGCGGUACCGGCGAGCGGCGCGGGGGCAAGAGACGGAGCCGUUUUUUGUGGGGAGCGCCAUUCUCCACUCAGCUUUUCACCAAGAGGGCUGCGGACACACAGAAAACCCGUCUGAAUGUUUAUUUGGUGUUUUUGAGAGCUGCCUUUCCCCAGCCCUCUCCCUGAAGAGCGCGAGCAAACAGAGCUGGGUCGGGAUUUGCACGGGUGAAGCGCCGCGGCCUCACGCACCGAGCCCGGCUGAAAGCAGCCGAGCAGGAACAGCGCUCUGCCACAUUCCUUCCAGCCCAGUCAGAGCUCCAGAAACAGGUCCUGGUGUCCUCGCAGUCUCCCCGUGCACUUUUUUUGCUCCGGGAAGCGCUUCCCCUCCGUGGGAGCUUCUGUCAGCGACAGGGCACGUGCUGCACAAGUGCCCGAGGAGGGGUUUACGGGGCCGGGCUCUAAUCGGUUCCUUGACACCAAAACCCGAAGUUUUCCCCUGCAUGAUACCUUCCAGGUGCUUUCGGCCACCUCUCCACACGUCGCAAACCUUUUGGGAACGCUCCCAAGCACACUGCUCCCGCACGGGAGGCGUUUAGGGGAAGGCAGGACACAGGGAGGGGAAAAACGACAGCGUUAAGGCAAACACCGGGG